rnacentral:lncRNA from 1 species
AUGAAAAAGGAACUUCAGACAGAUGCCUUUGAUACUGUGCCCCUCUUGCACCUAAGAGUCAGUUUCCAGGAUUUAAAUCAUGUCCCUCCUGCAAGACAGUUACUUCUCUUAAUGAUCAACCGUUUCCUCUGCCUCAUUGAACACCUGCACCAGCAUAUGGUUCCCGGACACAUGGAAGGCUGAUUCUUCUCUCAUGUAUAUUUGUGUAAGUCAAUGAAAUUACAUUAGUUUGAAAUCAGUGGAAGCAAGAAGAGAAUCCAAGCUCUGGUGCUUUUCUGUCUCUGCACAUGGAACCAGUUGUUCUCGUUUGUUUCUUUCUUGAAUGUUGCUCUUCCUUUGGUUCCAUGAAGUGUUUAGCUGUACGCUGUAAUAAAGCUAGGAGUCCCAGUGCUAAACA